rnacentral:rRNA from 1 species
ACAGGGAUUGCCUUAGUAGCGGCGAGCGAAGCGGCAACAGCUCAAAUUUGAAAUCUGGCUACUUUGUAGUCCGAGUUGUAAUUUGCAGAGGAUGCUUUUGGUGAGGUGCCUUCCGAGUUCCCUGGAACGGGACGCCAGAGAGGGUGAGAGCCCCGUACGGUUGGACACCAAACCUUUGUAUAGCUCCUUCAACGAGUCGAGUAGUUUGGGAAUGCUGCUCUAAAUGGGAGGUAUAUCUCUUCUAAAGCUAAAUACCGGCUAGAGACCGAUAGCGCACAAGUAGAGUGAUCGAAAGAUGAAAAGCACUUUGAAAAGAGAGUUAAACAGCACGUGAAAUUGUUGAAAGGGAAGCGCCUAUGACCAGACUUGUUUCUGUCAGUUUUGCUUGUUUUCGGACUUGUUUACUCUGUCAGUACAGGCCAACAUCAGUUUGUUGUUUGGGAGAAAGGCUUAGGGAAUGUGGCUCCCUCGGGAGUGUUAUAGCCCUUUGCAUAAUACCAUUCGGCAGACUGAGGACCGCGCUUCGGCAAGGAUGUUGGCGUAAUGGUCAUCAGCGACCCGUCUUGAAACACGGACCAAGGAGUCAACCUUAUGUGCGAGUGUUUGGGUGUAAAACCCCAGCGCGUAAUGAACGUGAACGUAGGUGAGAGCUUCGGCGCAUCAUCGACCGAUUCUGAUGUUCUCGGAUGGAUUUGAGUAAGAGCAUAUAGGGUUGGACCCGAAAGAAGGUGAACUAUGCUUGUAUAGGGUGAAGCCAGAGGAAACUCUGGUGGAGGCUCGCAGCGGUUCUGACGUGCAAAUCGAUCGUCAAAUAUGAGCAUGGGGGCGAAAG